UGGUUUCUAGGUCUUUAGUGUAGUGGGUUCGAUACCCCUAUGCGUAGUUUUUCUUUCUUUUAAUAUUUUCUUUUAUAUUUAUGCUUUAUUAUUCAUAUUUCUUUUUUUUAUUAUUGUUUAAUAAUAUAGAUUUGUUUUCUCUUUUAAUUGCAUCAUGCAUUCGAAACCAUUUUUUUAACUUAUAAAAAUCAUAUUUUCUCGAUUUAAUAUCGAGCCCUUUUUCACACCCUUGUAAGUCGAUUGCUUUUUAAGCAUCGCCAUCAACCUCACAUAGCUUACUCUUGGGCUUUCUUACAAUGAGCCGGUUCUCUUGCACUUACACUCAUGCAUUAUUUGUUGUUUGGGUCCGAUUCAAUUAUUUCAUGAUUUUUAAUCCCCAUUUGACAAAAUGUACCCCAUUCCCCCGAUGUGUAAUAAUCUUGUACUAUUUUAUUUCUCUAUUGCUUGUCUGUUUAGUUAGAUACUAACACAAGAGUAAAAUCAACAAUUUCAAAAAUAC
rnacentral:lncRNA from 1 species